rnacentral:rRNA from 1 species
CUGGCGGCAGGCCUAACACAUGCAAGUCGAACGGUAACAGGAAGCAGCUUGCUGCUUCGCUGACGAGUGGCGGACGGGUGAGUAAUGUCUGGGAAACUGCCUGAUGGAGGGGGAUAACUACUGGAAACGGUGGCUAAUACCGCAUAACGUCGCAAGACCAAAGAGGGGGACCUUCGGGCCUCUUGCCAUCAGAUGUGCCCAGAUGGGAUUAGCUAGUUGGUGAGGUAACGGCUCACCAAGGCGACGAUCCCUAGCUGGUCUGAGAGGAUGACCAGCCACACUGGAACUGAGACACGGUCCAGACUCCUACGGGAGGCAGCAGUGGGGAAUAUUGCACAAUGGGCGCAAGCCUGAUGCAGCCAUGCCGCGUGUAUGAAGAAGGCCUUCGGGUUGUAAAGUACUUUCAGCGGGGAGGAAGGUGUUGUGGUUAAUAACCGCAGCAAUUGACGUUACCCGCAGAAGAAGCACCGGCUAACUCCGUGCCAGCAGCCGCGGUAAUACGGAGGGUGCAAGCGUUAAUCGGAAUUACUGGGCGUAAAGCGCACGCAGGCGGUCUGUCAAGUCGGAUGUGAAAUCCCCGGGCUCAACCUGGGAACUGCAUUCGAAACUGGCAGGCUUGAGUCUUGUAGAGGGGGGUAGAAUUCCAGGUGUAGCGGUGAAAUGCGUAGAGAUCUGGAGGAAUACCGGUGGCGAAGGCGGCCCCCUGGACAAAGACUGACGCUCAGGUGCGAAAGCGUGGGGAGCAAACAGGAUUAGAUACCCUGGUAGUCCACGCCGUAAACGAUGUCUACUUGGAGGUUGUGCCCUUGAGGCGUGGCUUCCGGAGCUAACGCGUUAAGUAGACCGCCUGGGGAGUACGGCCGCAAGGUUAAAACUCAAAUGAAUUGACGGGGGCCCGCACAAGCGGUGGAGCAUGUGGUUUAAUUCGAUGCAACGCGAAGAACCUUACCUGGUCUUGACAUCCACAGAACUUUCCAGAGAUGGAUUGGUGCCUUCGGGAACUGUGAGACAGGUGCUGCAUGGCUGUCGUCAGCUCGUGUUGUGAAAUGUUGGGUUAAGUCCCGCAACGAGCGCAACCCU